CUAUCUCGGUUUUGCAAAACGACCCGUCGACUGUUCGUACUUCAGAGGCGAACCAGAGUUAGAUUGCUUGUCAGGAUCACGUGGAUUUAGCAAGCAGUUUAUGAUUUGAGCUUUGGUCGAUCUCCGUUUCUUC